AUGCAUUGUAAAUUUGUACAUCAAAAUGAAGAAACAAAAGGUGAACUAAGAAAUGGAGGAGGAGGAGAUUUGUUUCUCUUAAUUUCUUGUUUUUUUUCUCUACAUACAGACGGACGGGAGAAGAUUUUACGGCGAUCAGACGACGGCGUGGCAGAGGCUGGAUUUCCACUGCGACUGCCACGACUCCACCCACGCCAAGAAUCUGUACACCUUGCCGAAGACGCAGAGGAAGACGAGCCCGGCCACCAGGCUGUAUGCCGCCACGCCCACGGCGCCGCCCUCCGCCGCCACCCAGCCGACGAGGUACACGGCGUCGGCCGCCACGAACACCCACCCGACGCCCUCAAGCGCCGACCGCGUCCACGCGCUCAGCCGCUCCUCGCCGUAGAUCCGGCACACCAUCCUGGAGCAGAGCGCGAAGAUGAUGGCCAGCGCCGUCUUGGACAGGCCCCGGUACCGCAUCGCCGUGCCGCCGACGACCAGCGGCUCCAUGCGGCAGAGGCAGGACGCGCACUCCCCGGAGAAGCGCGACCAGCGGAGCGCCUCCAGCCCCGUGUAGUAGGGCAGCACCACGGCGUCCAGGUAGAGGCUGGCGUGCAGCACGCCGGAGACCGUGGAGGCCUCCAGCACCGCGUACCGGAUGUCGCCGUCGGCCUCGUUCCGGAACGCCAGCGCCGACGCCUGCAGCAGCAGCAGCAAUGCCGGGCCGAGCUGGGCCAGCGGGAACACGGCGUUGACGCGCUGCCCCUUGGCCAGCGCCAGCAGCACCAGCGGGAGCAGGAACGGGCCCGAGGGGACCAGGUACUUCCGCUUGACGCCCCUCACGCCAGCGGCGCCGCUCCGGACGAGGUCGAGCACGGCGAAGGCCAGCGCGGCGACGAAGCAGUAGGCCGCGAAGGCGGCGACGAGCGCGCCGACGGCGGAGUGGUAGUCGCCCGGGUAGGAGCUGUCGCAGUAGUAGUGGUAGGGGCAGGUGACGAAGUCCGUGGUCUCCUCCAGCUGCCACCGCGUGCACUUGAGUAUCUGCCUCGUCACCGCAUCGCCGCCCAGCUGCUGCAGCCGCGGCGUCCACGCCGACCGCCCGGCGCCUCCCAGCAGCGGCGACAGCAUCUGAUCAUACGACAUGGCCGGCGUCUACCUAGCUUGCUCUCUCGGCGUCCGUCCCCCGGCCGACGCCGACGCCGACGCAGCUCCUGCUCCUUGGUGCUCGGCCUCUUGUCCUGUUAG
rnacentral:rRNA from 1 species